GCGUUCCCCCGGCGCCAUCUUGCCGGUGCUUGCUCCUCCUCGGUCCUGGUUAACGAAUCAAUGGGCAAGAGGAGGAGCGCGAGUGAAGACUGACAACCGAGCGAUGCUCGCGCAGCUCAGCGUGUCCAGGUUAGCUCAGUGCUAAGGAGCUAGGCUACAUGCUACCCGACGCUGCUAACCGGUUAGCGCUGUGCUGUAGCUGGUCGCAAUCUUUACGAACUCACUAGAGAGGGAAGUGGAGAGACUUUAUGUGGACUGUUUUCAACAACUCUGUGGGAGAUUAUCACCUUGAAUAUUACAGAUGAGAUGAAGCACUGCAGCAUCGGAUCUGUCCUCAGCAGCAACAUGAUGGAGAUCGGCAGCUUCAGGCUGGUCAUCACGAGGACGACCUGCACAAGCUUCAUCGGCCCAACACUUCACGUUUUCUCCCUCAACUAAAGAUGGC